UACGAAGGAUGCAAGCGUUAUCCGGAUUCAUUGGGUUUAAAGGGUGCGUAGGCGGCGCGGUAAGUCGGGUGUGAAAUCUCGGAGCUUAACUCCGAAACUGCAUUCGAUACUGCCGUGCUUGAGGACUGGAGAGGAGACUGGAAUUUACGGUGUAGCGGUGAAAUGCGUAGAUAUCGUAAGGAAGACCAGUGGCGAAGGCGGGUCUCGUGGACAGUUCCUGACGCUGAGGCACGAAGGUCAGGGGAGCAAACGGG
rnacentral:rRNA from 1 species